AAUAGAUACCCCGGUAGUCCAUGCCGUAAACGUUGGGCACUAGGUGUGGGGGACAUUCCACGUUUUCCGCGCCGUAGCUAACGCAUUAAGUGCCCCGCCUGGGGAGUACGGCCGCAAGGCUAAAACUCAAAGGAAUUGACGGGGGCCCGCACAAGCGGCGGAGCAUGCGGAUUAAUUCGAUGCAACGCGAAGAACCUUACCAAGGCUUGACAUGGACCGGACCGCCGCAGAAAUGUGGUUUCUCCUUUUGGGGCCGGUUCACAGGUGGUGCAUGGUUGUCGUCAGCUCGUGUCGUGAGAUGUUGGGUUAAGUCCCGCAACGAGCGCAACCCUCGUUCCAUGUUGCCAGCACGUAGUGGUGGGGACUCAUGGGAGACUGCCGGGGUCAACUCGGAGGAAGGUGGGGACGACGUCAAAUCAUCAUGCCCCUUAUGUCUUGGGCUUCACGCAUGCUACAAUGGCCGGUACAAAGGGUUGCGAUACUGUGAGGUGGAGCUAAUCCCAAAACGCCGGUCUCAGUUCGGAUUGGGGUCUGCAACUCGACCCA
rnacentral:rRNA from 1 species